rnacentral:rRNA from 1 species
GAUGAACGCUGACAGAAUGCUUAACACAUGCAAGUCGACCUGUGGCGGACGCGUGAGUAACGCGUAAAGAACUUGCCUCACAGCUAGGGACAACAUUUAGAAAUGAAUGCUAGUACAUGAUCCUGUGAGAGAGCUUUGCGUCCCAUUAGCUAGUUGGAGAGGUAACAGCUCACCAAGGCGAGGAUGUGUAGCCGGCCUGGGAGGGUGAACGGCCACAAGGUGACUGGGGAACGGGCCUUACUCCUACGGGAUGAAGCGGUGGAGGAUAUUGGACGAUUGACCGAAGUAUGAACCAGCAAUUCGGUGUGCACGAUGAAGUUUUCGGGAUGUAAAGUGCUUUCAGUAGGGAAGCGGUACCAACAGAAGAAGUGACGGCUAAAUACGUGCCAGCAGCCGCGGUAAUAC